GGGGAAUAUUGCACAAUGGGGGGAACCCUGAUGCAGCGACGCCGCGUGGAGGAAGAAGGUCUUCGGAUUGUAAACUCCUGUUGUUGAGGAAGAUAAUGACGGUACUCAACAAGAAAGCACCGGCUAACUACGUGCCAGCAGCCGCGGUAAAACGUAGGGUGCAAGCGUUGUCCGGAAUUACUGGGUGUAAAGGGAGCGCAGGCGGGAAGACAAGUUGGAAGUGAAAACCAUGGGCUCAACCCAUGAAUUGCUUUCAAAACUGUUUUUCUUGAGUAGUGCAGAGGUAGAUGGAAUUCCCGGUGUGGCGGUGGAAUGCGUAGAUAUCGGGAGGAACACCAGUGGCGAAGGCGGUCUACUGGGCACCAACUGACGCUGAGGCUCGAAAGCAUGGGUAGCAAACAGGAUUAGAUACCCUGGUAGUCCAUGCCGUAAACGAUGAUUACUAGGUGUUGGGGGAUUGACCCCCUCAGUGCCGCAGUUAACACAAUAAGUAAUCCACCUGGGGAGUACGACCGCAAGGUUGAAACUCAAAGGAAUUGACGGGGGCCCGCACAAGCAGUGGAGUAUGUGGUUUAAUUCGAAGCAACGCGAAGAACCUUACCAGGUCUUGACAUCCGAUGCAUAACACAGAGAUGUGUGAAAUCCUUCGGGACAUCGAGACAGGUGGUGCAUGGUUGUCGUCAGCUCGUGUCGUGAGAUGUUGGGUUAAGUCCCGCAACGAGCGCAACCCUUAUUGCCAGUUACUACGUUAAGAGGACUCUGGCGAGACUGCCGUUGACAAACCGGAGGAAGGUGGGGAUGACGUCAAAUCAUCAUGCCCCUUAUGACUUGGGCUACACACGUACUACAAUGGCGUUAAACAAAGAGAAGCAAGACCGCGAGGUGGAGCAAAACUCAGAAACAACGUCCCAGUUCGGACUGCAGGCUGCAACUCGCCUGCACGAAGUCGGAAUUGCUAGUAAUCGCAGAUCAGCAUGCUGCGGUGAAUACGUUCCCG
rnacentral:rRNA from 1 species